CUGCCUGCCUGCUCAUAGGCCGCUCUAUAGGAUAAUAGGAGGGGGAAAAGGCCGUAGUAAUAACGAAAAUGGUAAUAAGAAUAAAUCCCGUCUCUACGGGUAAUGAGUUUUAUUUUAUAUUCAAAGGGUUGCUCUUACAGCUGUAAAGCCGGGCCAGACAUAGGGUUGAGUUGACACUUCCCAAAUCCACCACUUGGAUAUAUAUCUUCAGGGCUCAGGGUUCAGCAUUUUUCCCCAUUACCACUCCAAUCAGUCCCACCCUUGUCACAGUUCCUCAGUCGAGAGAAUGUGUACAUCUGCGCAAGUUGUUAUCCAGAAUUAAAGGAAAGAAGUGUGGCGAAAGUAAGAAACGGCGAAAUAAAACAAGAAAAAAAAGGAGGCGCGAAAAGAAGAAGAAGAAGAAAUUGUCUAAACAGAUCGCAUAUCCAGAAAAACGCCUGUUUCUCAUGCUCAUGCUCCAUUUCAUGCUCGUGCAUGUCGUGCCGUUUUUGAAAAAAAAAAAAAAUGAAAGAAAAAAAAAAUCCAAACACCAAACCGAAUGCCCAGAACCAGAACAGGGGGUAAAAAAGCCCAAAUCACAUCAAAUCAAAAACCACAUCUAGAACUCUCGUUCAGCUAAAAUGACAAGACAGUAAUUGGAGACACACGUGAGGUGAUGGUAGAGCGGGGAGAAUGGUAAGAGGUAGGAGGAAGAGCAACAAGGCUGGAGUGCGGGUCCAUAGGAUGGAAUGAGAGUGAGGUCUCUACAAUGGGAAAUUCAAGAAACA
rnacentral:sRNA from 2 species